AGUGAAUGUGCAGUUUGUAGGUCGACGUGGUGCAACAAAUACUAGAGUUAUUGCCCUUGAUGACGUAAAACUGUCAGAAGGCCGAUGUCCAGAUAUAUCGACUACCAAGUGUGAUUUUGAUGAUUUCACCUCGUGCAAUGCUAGAAUACUGUGUGAUAACUGUGAAAAAGAUUACAGAUGGCACUGGACCAACAAUUCUCAACUGCUCACGGAAAAUGAUCAAAUAUUAAAUGG